UGUGUCAAACUCAAGGCCCGCGGGCCAAAUCCGGCCCCUUGCAGAUUUUGAUUCGGCUCGCAUGUCAAUUGAGGUUCACGAUAAAUUUAUGGCCCGCCAAGUUUUUCGACAACCCAAAA